rfam:Schistosoma mattheei strain Denwood, Zambia genome assembly, scaffold: SMTD_contig0001100
AUCCAGCUGACGAGUCCCAAAUAAAACGAAACACGCAUCUUGAAU